rnacentral:lncRNA from 1 species
GCCUGAGCCAGCACUAGCAACCCUCUGCCAUCCUCUUCUUCAAUGUGGAAGGUUUGUUCUUUUGUUCUUUGUGAUAAAUCUUGCUGUUGCUCACUCUUUGGGUCCACACUGAGUUUAUGAGCUGUAACACUUAUGAGCCAGCGAGACCACGAACCCACCAGAAGGAAGAAACUGCGAACACAUUGGAACAUCAGAAGGAACAAACUCUGGACAUCCUGCUUUUAGGAACUGUAACACUCACUGCGAGAGUCUGCGGCUUCAUUCUUUUAGUCAGUGAGACCAAGAACCCACCAAUUCCGGACAGGGCAUCUACCUAGAAGUCAGCAGCUCAGUGGAGUCUUUCCUGGUAACCCGACCUAAAAUCCCCAAACUGCCAAGAAUUGGUGUACAAAUAUCACGGACAGUGGGAAAAACAAUGAAUGCUGCCUGCUUAAGUCACAAGGCCCAGAAUGAACCUUUAUUAAGUCCAAGGGUCAGCAUUUGCUCCUAUGUUGGUCCCAUUGCAGAAUGAAGGUGAAGAAAGAGGAGAUUAGGCCUCUUGAAAAGAGAAAAUCCCC